CCUACGGGAGGCAGCAGUAGGGAAUCUUCCACAAUGGGCGAAAGUCUGAUGGAGCAACGCCGCGUGAGUGAAGAAGGGUUUCGGCUCGUAAAGCUCUGUUGGUAGUGAAGAAAGAUAGAGGUAGUAACUGGCCUUUGUUUGACGGUAAUUACUUAGAAAGUCACGGCUAACUACGUGCCAGCAGCCGCGGUAAUACGGAGGUUGCAAUCGUUGUCCGGAUUUAUUGGGCGUAAAGCGAGUGCAGGCGGUACGAGAAGUCUGAUGUGAAAGCCUUCGGCUCAACCGGGGAAUUGCAUCAGAAACUGGUGAACUAGAGUGCAGAAGAGGGGAGUGGAACUCCAUGUGUAGCGGUGGAAUGCGUAGAGAUAUGGAAGAACACCAGUGGCGAAGGCGGCCCCCUGGUCUGCAACUGACGCUGAGGCGCGAAAGCAUGGGUAGCGAACAGGAUUAGAUACCCGUGUAGUC
rnacentral:rRNA from 1 species